GUUUAUAUAAGGCACUGCCUCCAGCUGACUUCAGCUGUUUUCCCUCUUCGACGGUCCGGCGGGGUUGCGGCUUAUCUGGGCGGUUCCACCAACAGAAACUGUUUCACAGCGCGAGCUGUCUGGCAGCGCCAAGAAGGUGCUGCGGGCCACGGCGGGGACCCAACCCCUGGUGGAGGGCGUUUUCAUCACCCGUGGCGUUGUCGUCAACCGUUCCACCUCUCCCCACCCCGCCAUGCCAGCAUCUACUGUACCCUGCAGAAGAAUAUUCUCCAAAUGUGGAGAAAUUGUGAGCAAAAAAAUAAACUGGUUAAAUCCCAAUACUGUGGAAAAAAAAAAAUAACGUACCUCAAUAAAAACGUUGAGUCUACAAUUACACAAGAAUACCCAAGCUAUGGCAUAUUUUACCAGCAUUUUCUCCUUAACAAAACAAAGCUCAUGUGUGCGCCUCCCGGUCACCAAUAG
rnacentral:lncRNA from 1 species